UUUUUCUUUCACCGGAGCUUGCUCCACCGAAAGAAAAGAGUGGCGAACGGGUGAGUAACACGUGGGUAACCUGCCCAUCAGAAGGGGAUAACACUUGGAAACAGGUGCUAAUACCGUAUAACACUAUUUUCCGCAUGGAAGAAAGUUGAAAGGCGCUUUUGCGUCACUGAUGGAUGGACCCGCGGUGCAUUAGCUAGUUGGUGAGGUAACGGCUCACCAAGGCAACGAUGCAUAGCCGACCUGAGAGGGUGAUCGGCCACACUGGGACUGAGACACGGCCCAGACUCCUACGGGAGGCAGCAGUAGGGAAUCUUCGGCAAUGGACGAAAGUCUGACCGAGCAACGCCGCGUGAGUGAAGAAGGUUUUCGGAUCGUAAAACUCUGUUGUUAGAGAAGAACAAGGAUGAGAGUAAAAUGUUCAUCCCUUGACGGUAUCUAACCAGAAAGCCACGGCUAACUACGUGCCAGCAGCCGCGGUAAUACGUAGGUGGCAAGCGUUGUCCGGAUUUAUUGGGCGUAAAGCGAGCGCAGGCGGUUUCUUAAGUCUGAUGUGAAAGCCCCCGGCUCAACCGGGGA
rnacentral:rRNA from 1 species